ACGACCUUACUUGAACAGGAUCUGUUCUAUAGGCUCGUACCUCUGUGUCCUUGAUCGCUAAGGAGACAGGAAUCGAAGUUUGGUGGAUGACUCGUGAUCGUGCGAUCAGAGCGUGAUUGUUUGCUUGCACGGUCUCCCUCCAGAGAACGUUGUGGCAGCAGAGGAUCGUUCUCGGUUGGCUCGGUCCGACCGGGGAUGGUCGUGCGAUUGUCUGACAAACU